UUGUUCAAGAGGCAUGGGCAGGAAAGAAUGUAUAUGUGUUGCUGUCCAAAAUUGGACGCUACAAACUCUUUUACGCAGACAUUAAAAGAACUGCUCCAAAUAAUGAGCUUGAAAGCGAGGUUAUGAAUGCUUACAUGUGUCUUCUUGUGAAGCAUUUCAAUGAAAGAUCAAAAGAUCAAGCAUUCCACAUUGACUCGUAUGAAAUUACCAAUAUAUGGAAUGGGAAAAAAUCUAAACUGAAGGUUGAUCCCUCAAUGUACCAUUACCUCAUUGGUAUUGUCAAUGACCAUCACCACUGGACACUUGUGGUAAUACAAACAUUCACUUUACACAUAUAGGGAGGUGUUUUAGCCCAAAAGAAAUAUGAAUAUAUUUAUAUAAAAAUUAAAGUUU